CAAUAGCGUAUAUUUAAGUUGUUGCAGUUAAAAAGCUCGUAGUUGGAUUUCGGAUGGGACUUGCCGGUCCGUCGUUUCGAUGUGCACUGGCCAGUCCUAUCUUGUUGUCGGGGACUAGCUCCUGGGCUUCACUGUCCGGGACUAGGAGCUGACGAGGUUACUUUGAGUAAAUUAGAGUGUUCAAAGCAAGCCUACGCUCUGAAUACAUUAGCAUGGAAUAACACGAUAGGACUCUGGCUUAUCUUGUUGGUCUGUGAGACCAGAGUAAUGAUUAAGAGGGACAGUCGGGGGCAUUCGUAUUUCAUUGUCAGAGGUGAAAUUCUUGGAUUUAUGAAAGGCGAACUUCUGCGAAAGCAUUUGUCAAGGAUGUUUNCAUUA
rnacentral:rRNA from 1 species